UACGUAGGGUCCGAGCGUUGUCCGGAAUUAUUGGGCGUAAAGGGCUCGUAGGCGGUCCGUCACGUCGGGAGUGAAAACUCAGGGCUCAACCCUGAGCGUGCUUCCGAUACGGGCGGACUAGAGGUAUGCAGGGGAGAACGGAAUUCCUGGUGUAGCGGUGAAAUGCGCAGAUAUCAGGAGGAACACCGGUGGCGAAGGCGGUUCUCUGGGCAUUACCUGACGCUGAGGAGCGAAAGCGUGGGGAGCAAACAGG
rnacentral:rRNA from 1 species